GACGAACGCUGGCGGCGUGCUUAACACAUGCAAGUCGAACGGUGAUGCUCCAGCUUGCUGGAGUGGAUCAGUGGCGAACGGGUGAGUAACACGUGAGCAACCUGCCCCAGACUCUGGAAUAAGCGCUGGAAACGGCGUCUAAUACUGGAUACGAAACUGGCCCGCAUGGGCAUGGUUUGGAAAGUUUUCGGUUUGGGAUGGGCUCGCGGCCUAUCAGCUUGUUGGUGAGGUAAUGGCUCACCAAGGCGACGACGGGUAGCCGGCCUGAGAGGGCGACCGGCCACACUGGGACUGAGACACGGCCCAGACUCCUACGGGAGGCAGCAGUGGGGAAUAUUGCACAAUGGGCGAAAGCCUGAUGCAGCGACGCCGCGUGAGGGAUGACGGCCUUCGGGUUGUAAACCUCUUUCAGCAGGGAAGAAGCGAAAGUGACGGUACCUGCAGAAGAAGCACCGGCUAACUACGUG
rnacentral:rRNA from 1 species